rnacentral:rRNA from 1 species
GACGAACGCUGGCGGCGUGCCUAAUACAUGCAAGUCGAGCGGACCAAAGGGAGCUUGCUCCUGGAGGUUAGCGGCGAACGGGUGAGUAACACGUGGGCAACCUGCCUGUAAGACUGGGAUAACAUCGAGAAAUCGGUGCUAAUACCGGAUAAUAAAAAGAACUGCAUGGUUCUUUUUGAAAGAUGGUUUCGGCUAUCACUUACAGAUGGGCCGCGGCGCAUUAGCUAGUUGGUGGGGUAACGGCUCACCAAGGCGACGAUGCGUAGCCGACCUGAGAGGGUGAUCGGCCACACUGGGACUGAGACACGGCCCAGACUCCUACGGGAGGCAGCAGUAGGGAAUCUUCCGCAAUGGACGAAAGUCUGACGGAGCAACGCCGCGUGAGUGAUGAAGGUUUUCGGAUCGUAAAACUCUGUUGUUAGGGAAGAACAAGUGCCGUUCGAAAGGGCGGCACCUUGACGGUA